AAACAAUGCAUAUGAGAUUGAUUUAGAACUAACUUAAUAGAUAUUUAUGUUCCAUUACAUGGUACUUGGUAGCUUAAAAGAAGAUAUUCAGAUCACUUGAUAAUGUCAUACAUUGGCUUUAUAAAAGUAAGCUAUAUUAGCAAAGGCCAGAGAUGCAUUGUCUUUCUCGCAGCAAGGACCAAGACGCGAGAAGGUGGUGGUAUUAGGUAGAGUCAUCGCUACUUGUCCGAGCAGUAUCGAACAUAAUUUCGUCGUCUAAGCAGGCAUGCUUAUGGUCAGUGGCGGCGCCAGGAUUCAGCCACACCCCCGGCCGGCCUAGGAAGCCUUCCAGCACUGCAGUGCUCUCUACAGUAUACAAAGGGAAUCAGCCUUAUACCCCAGGCAUCCACUCGGGCUGCCUGGGGCCUGUCUCCGCCGCAGCCUACAAUCGCACAUAGUGGUUUAAGCCAUCAUCCAUGUCUCCAACAUAACCCUCAAUGCAGCUUGAAUCUGAGUCUGGAUCAUAUGCCUUUCUUCUGCAAUGAGACAUGCCACGCUAGUCACGCUUUGAAGCGCAACCACAACAUCAUGAAUUUCCAGAAGAGUCUAUUUGAUAUCACAGAUAGUGAUUAAAGCAGUAGGGUCCAAUGUAGCUCGAUUAUGGAUUUUGUUUGAUGUAACACGCACUUCGUCUGAUAGUGUGACGCUUCCCUAGUCAUCCGUUUAAUCUCAACAGGACAACAUCACAUUUUAUCUGCUAACCAAAGUACAACAGGUAAAACAAAGUACAACAGGCAAAGCUUGAAUCUAACUAUCAUAAAAAAAUACACAAACCUAUCUAGCAUAAAUAAUUUGGCUCGGUGUAUCCAUGUUAACAACUGAUUAAUGGAAUAUAUUGGGUUGGGGUACCAAGGCUAAUUAGUUACAUGAUUCCUAAUCAGGAAGCCUACUCAAUAAUGUCAAUCUACAAAGCAUUCACAAUACGAAAAAGCGAAUAAAAUGCAGCUUCCAUAGGAAAAUGCGCAGAAUAAUUAGCAUCAAUCAAGGGAAGCCAAACCAAGCAGAGAACAUCACAAACAGAACAGAGCCAUAUAAGUAAGUGUGAAUGGAGGAAGUAAAAGCAAAGAGAGAGGAACACCUCGGCUAGAUUCGAGGAAGUCAUGUUCCACUCCUAGGCUCCUAGCGCACCUGUAGCCAAUCCCUCGUCCGUGAGAUGAAGCAACAUAGAUUGGGUUUAGAAAGCAAUAGAAUCACACUAACAUAUAGUAUAGGAAGAUGUGUUACCUUCCUAACAAAAAUAUCGAUGCUUGUCGAUUUAGUUCCUAAUCACCAUUGAUGUAGUUUGUCCUGGCUACUGCGGCGUGCACUGCCAUUUAGAAGAAAUAUAAACUAUUCAUGUGUAGAAAGAUCAUUGCUGCAACAUGGAACAACAUGUUCUAUAAGAGAGGCUUAGUUCAGCAAAAUCAACACGAUUACAUGACAAACUAUCAAACAUUGCACUAUAUAUCAAGAAUAUACAAGCAAGGCAAAAUCAAUCUAGCAAAUUCAACAAGGGUUGACUGAUGAUGUCUAAGUCCUUUUGGUUCACUACAAUCUUUCUGAACUCAUUCGUUUUUGAGAAAUUGGUUCCGAACCUGCAUCGAGGGGUGGAAGGAACGAGGAGGAGGGGGUCUCUUUUUUACCGCUCCUGGUCUAGGGUUUUCACUCCGAGCGUUUUGGUCGCGGACUGGGCUGACCAACCCUUCGCUGCCUCGUGGGCCAAGGAUCAUAUGGGUCGAGUAACAGGCACUUGAUAAAAAAACAUUGUGGUAACUAAACUUUACAUCAAACAGUAAAAUCCAACGGUGAAAAAUCAUCCAACCUCUAAUCAGAUGGCCAAUAUGUGUGCGCACGGGAGAGGCCCCAGAAUGGCGGGUAGCCUAGCUCCUUUUAUAGUAGAGAUUUUCUUACAGGUUAACAGAAGUAGUGUGCCAACCUUAAAAAAUAAAUACAGAGGCCAGCCAUGCUUUCUGUAACACAAACACAAAGAUAUUCUCUUUCCAGCAUGGCACCUAUAAAUGAUGAAAAGAAAUAAGAAGGAGAAUGGUCGCAUGUCAAAUAGAAAUAAAAUACAGAGGCCAUGCAUGCUGUAAGCUAAUAGCUAAGCGAAUGCCAUAUAUAAAUGAAAUCGACGUCGAGGGGAAACAGAGCAGCCAAAGAUGAAUUCCGAUGGUGCACAAAAGCUUAAUGAAGAAGUAUCUAUGUAGAUUGAUUAGAAACAAGGGAAGGAACUCUCAAGUGGUGAACAUUAUGUAGUCGGGUAAUUCAAUUAUUCAGCUGCGUCAAUCGCCCUCGCGCCGUGAUUAUUUAGUGGACCUUUCUCAUUUUCUUAUGUACAUGUAUAAUCAGUAAUAGUACAGUUGUGCAUCCUAUGUGCCAAUAAUCUGCUCAGCAACCCAGACAUACAAACCGGCAUGCAAAGACAAGAAGAAUGGCACCUACCGGUAGAUAUGAUGGUGUGUUGCAAAUUAGAAAGGAAAAAAGAACGAUGUGGGACAAAAGGGCAGGAACAUACCUCAAUCAAAUGGAUCCAUCUCAAGCAAUGGAGCAACAUGAAUGCAACUAACCCUCACGUCUCUCCUGCAACAGUAACAAAACUUUAGAGAAGCGAAGCAAACACAAAAUAAAGACAACUUUUAUUUGCUCAAUGGGAUAUAUUGAAAACAAAACAUUUUACACAAGUGUACAAAGAAGCAAGUGCAACAACCACUUAACAAAUUAUAGAGCU
rnacentral:lncRNA from 1 species